AAACGUAGGAGGCGAGCGUUAUCCGGAUUUACUGGGCGUAAAGCGCACGCAGGCGGCUCUGUGAGUCGGACGUGAAAGCUCCCGGCUUAACCGGGAGAGGCCGUUCGAUACUGCGGGGCUUGAGGUAGGGAGAGGAAUGCGGAAUUCCCGGUGUAGUGGUGGAAUGCGUAGAUAUCGGGAGGAACACCUGUGGCGAAAGCGGCAUUCUGGCCCUCACCUGACGCUGAGGUGCGAAAGCGUGGGUAGCAAACAGGAUUAGAUACCCUGGUAGUCCACGCCGUAAACGAUGUCAACUGGGUGUCGGUAGUUUUACACUAGCGGUGCCGAAGCUAACGCGUUAAGUUGACCGCCUGGGGACUACGGCCGCAAGGCUAAA
rnacentral:rRNA from 1 species